ACUGAGCUCCUAACUUCCCCAUGUUGGAAUCCCCAUCUUCCUAAGAACCUUAAUUCUUAGCACUAUGAAAGAUGUUGUUUUGGAGAAACAAUGUUUAAAUGCAAAUUAGCAUCCCAGCAGUCAGUUCUGGAAAGAUGCUCAAGCAGGCUCUAUGUUGGCUCCAGAUAGCUGUCUUGAUGAACUGAACAUUUUUGUAGCAAGUUUCCUUUUACAAGGACCUGCUGGAAUAAGCCAACCCUUUCUCUUAUCAACAUAGCAAAUAAAUCCUUUCCCUUCUCAACAAUGUUGAGAUAUUAGUAUCACUUGUCCAGCAUUUUCCUAAUCACAAAGUCAUUCCACAAUCCUUCCCUCGUUUCCCUCUUUACACAUAGCACCAUAGCACUAGAAGGGCCAUUAAUAGCACUGUUCCUCUGUUUUAGAUUGCAGAAGAUAUUGCUAAGAGCUCAGGCUUUGGAACAGCCUGGAAUUCAGAGACAGCAACUAAGAGCUUUGUGAUCUCAGCCAUGCAGACAGCUGAAAUUUCCCAGGAGGUGUCUUCUAUGGAGAAAUUGAACCAGAGAGGUCUGACUUCUAGGCAUGAGAGAGACAGCCAGCGAGAAGGAACACAGCAGGGGAGUGGGAGAGGAAGAA